ACGCCACUCCUCCCUUUUGCGUUAAAAUUUGGAUGCCCCUUAUUUGUGGCAUGUAAGAUGUGUGGUGCCUCCUCUAAACCCCAAUCCCCUAUGCCCCUUAUAAAUAGGGUCCAAAAGUUGGAGGCCUAUUGUAUGAGAAAAAAAUAGAGAGAAAAAUUCUACUAUGACGCCUAGCCUCUUCCUCUUCCCUAUUCCUCCUAUUCUUCUCCAUCUCUAGAGGGUCUAUGAGAUUUGAGAUGAAGCUACUUCAGCCGUUAAAGAGAAAAUCUCUGCAAAAAAGCUAGCACCCCAGGGAGAUCACCUACCUCUGAUCGGAAUAAGUCCUCAUGUGGGUACCUAUGGAGGUCGGGCAUGUGCAGGGCUAAAAAAAUCAUUCAGAUCUACGAUCAUCGACUACAGUGCAGUCUAACCCGCACAAGAUAUUGAGAUCUGAUCUUAAUAUUUAUUUUUAUUUUUAGAUUAUAUGCAUGUC
rnacentral:lncRNA from 1 species